UGGCGACGAUGUCUAGGGGUUCUGAGAGGAAGGUCCCCCACACUGGAACUGAGACACGGUCCAGACUCCUACGGGAGGCAGCAGUGAGGAAUAUUGGUCAAUGGUCAGACGACUGAACCAGCCAUGCCACGUGAAGGUGACGGCCCUAUGGGUCUUAAACUUCUUUUGCAAGGGAGCAAUAAGAGCUACGUGUAGCUUGAUGAGAGUACCUUGCGAAUAAGCAUCGGCUAACUCCGUGCCAGCAGCCGCGGUAAUACGGGGGAUGCAAGCGUUAUCCGGAUUUAUUGGGUUUAAAGGGUGCGUAGGCGGCGUCUUAAGUCAGCGGUGAAAUUUAGGGGCUCAACCUCUACCGUGCCGUUGAUACUGGGAUGCUGGAAUGCGGAUGCCGUGGGAGGAAUGUGUGGUGUAGCGGUGAAAUGCAUAGAUAUCACACAGAACACCGAUUGCGAAGGCAUCUCACGAAUCCGCUAUUGACGCUGAUGCACGAAAGCGUGGGGAUCAAACAGGAUUAGAUACCCUGGUAGUCCACGCUGUAAACGAUGAUGACUAACCGUCGGCGAUACACAGUCGGUGGCCAAGCGAAAGCGAUAAGUCAUCCACCUGGGGAGUACGACCGCAAGGUUGAAACUCAAAGGAAUUGACGGGGGCCCGCACAAGCGGAGGAACAUGUGGUUUAAUUCGAUGAUACGCGAGGAACCUUACCCGGGCUCGAACGGCAGAUGAAUAACUUAGAGACAAGUUAGUCUUCGGACAUCUGUCGAGGUGCUGCAUGGUUGUCGUCAGCUCGUGCUGUGAAGUGUCGGCUUAAGUGCCAUAACGAGCGCAACCCUUGCCGUUAGUUGCCAUCAGGUUAUGCUGGGGACUCUAGCGGGACUGCCACCGCAAGGUGUGAGGAAGGGGGGGAUGACGUCAAAUCAGCACGGCCCUUACGUCCGGGGCGACACACGUGUUACAAUGGUGGGUACAGAGGGGUGCUACCUGGCGACAGGAUGCCGAUCUCGAAAACCCAUCCCAGUUCGGAUUGUAUUGUGCAACCC
rnacentral:rRNA from 1 species